GACGAACGCUGGCGGCGUGCUUAACACAUGCAAGUCGAACGGAAAGGCCCUGCUUUUGUGGGGUGCUCGAGUGGCGAACGGGUGAGUAACACGUGAGUAACCUGCCCUUGACUUUGGGAUAACUUCAGGAAACUGGGGCUAAUACCGGAUAGGAGCUCCUGCUGCAUGGUGGGGGUUGGAAAGUUUCGGCGGUUGGGGAUGGACUCGCGGCUUAUCAGCUUGUUGGUGGGGUAGUGGCUUACCAAGGCUUUGACGGGUAGCCGGCCUGGGAGGGUGACCGGCCACAUUGGGACUGAGAUCCGGCCCAGCCCCCUCCGGGGGGCAGCGGGGGGGAAUUUUGCACAAUGGGCGGAAGCCUGAUGCAGCAACCCCGCGGGCGGGAUGACGGCCUUCGGGUUGAAAACCGCUUUCGCCUGGGACGAAGCGUGGGUGACGGUAAUGGGUAAAGAAGCACCGGCUAACUACGU
rnacentral:rRNA from 1 species